CCCUCUUCACAUCCAAGGAGUUGGACAUCCAUCUAGCAAAGAUCCAAGGUGUGGUGAUGCCUGGAACAGGAAGGCUGCAGGACAUCUUCGACAGGCUGCUGCUCCAACUUCAGAAGGAGUUCUGAAGUACUUUCAAAUCAGAUAGAGAUCUAAUUUUUGGAGCAUAGAUUCAUAAGGAGAAGACAUUGUAGGUCCUACUUGAGUGGAUACCGGUAGAGGCCAGGUGCUUGCGUGGCUAUAUCAGAACCUCAGGCUGUGCUGAGAUCAUCUACAAAAUAAUCAGAUUAUCCUUGAGGUAUUACUUGUUUCUCAUCCCUUUUAUAUUUAUUUUAGACUUAAUAUUGGAUAUAAAGUUUAGAUCUAGAGACUUAGAUCUAAAAUAAAUAUAGAAUAAUUUUUUUUAAAUUAUUCUGUCCCAGAUUUGAUGAAAUCUGGAAGAUCCUACAAAGGAAAAAGAUGGUUUUUCCUUCAG
rnacentral:lncRNA from 1 species